rnacentral:rRNA from 1 species
UACGUAGGGUGCAAGCGUUACUCGGAAUUACUGGGCGUAAAGGGUGCGUAGGUGGUUGUUUAAGUCUGCUGUGAAAGCCCCGGGCUCAACCUGGGAAUGGCAGUGGAUACUGGACAGCUAGAGUGCGGUAGAGGGUAGUGGAAUUCCCGGUGUAGCAGUGAAAUGCGUAGAGAUCGGGAGGAACACCAGUGGCGAAGGCGGCUACCUGGACCAGCACUGACACUGAAGCACGAAAGCGUGGGGAGCAAACAGG